UACGUAGGGGGCAAGCGUUGUCCGGAUUUAUUGGGCGUAAAGAGCGUGUAGGCGGCUAGAUAGGUCCGUUGUGAAAACUCGAGCUCAACCUCCGAGACGCCGGUGGAAACCAUCUAGCUAGAGUCCGGAAGAGGAGAGUGGAAUUCCUGGUGUAGCGGUGAAUGACGCAGAUAUCAGGAAGAACACCCGUGGCGAAGGCGGCUUCCUGGACCUGUUCUGACACUGAGGAGCGAAAGCGUGGGGAGCGAUCCGG
rnacentral:rRNA from 1 species